UACGAAGGGGGCUAGCGUUGUUCGGAAUCACUGGGCGUAAAGCGCACGUAGGCGGAUCUUUAAGUCAGGGGUGAAAUCCCGGAGCUCAACUCCGGAACUGCCUUUGAUACUGGGGAUCUCGAGUCCGGGAGAGGUGAGUGGAACUGCGAGUGUAGAGGUGAAAUUCGUAGAUAUUCGCAAGAACACCAGUGGCGAAGGCGGCUCACUGGCCCGGAACUGACGCUGAGGUGCGAAAGCGUGGGGAGCAAACAGG
rnacentral:rRNA from 1 species